rnacentral:rRNA from 1 species
UACAGAGGUCUCAAGCGUUGUUCGGAUUCAUUGGGCGUAAAGGGUGCGUAGGCGGCGCGGUAAGUCGGGUGUGAAAUCUCGGAGCUUAACUCCGAAACUGCAUUCGAUACUGCCGUGCUUGAGGACUGGAGAGGAGACUGGAAUUUACGGUGUAGCAGUGAAAUGCGUAGAGAUCGUGAGGAAGACCAGUGGCGAAGGCGGGUCUCUGGACAGUUCCUGACACUGAGGCACGAAGGCCAGGGGAGCAAACGGG